UACGUAGGUGGCAAGCGUUAAUCGGAAUUACUGGGCGUAAAGCGUGCGCAGGCGGUUUUGUAAGUCAGAUGUGAAAUCCCCCGGGCUUAACCUGGGAACUGCGUUUGAAACUACAAGGCUAGAGUGUGACAGAGGGGGGUGGAAUUCCACGUGUAGCAGUGAAAUGCGUAGAGAUGUGGAGGAACACCGAUGGCGAAGGCAGCCCCCUGGGUUAACACUGACGCUCAGGCACGAAAGCGUGGGGAGCAAACAGG
rnacentral:rRNA from 1 species